CAGAAUACAGCAUCUAAAAUGGACAAGCAAUGGAAAUAACUGGCCCAACUCCAAAUGGGAACGUUGGCCGAGGCGUCACAUCUUCCCUCCCCAAGGAAGAGGCGGCAACACUGGUUUCACCAUGUCUCAACAGACCAAUGAAUACUUCCAAAUGGACUAAAGG